AUAAAAAUCAGAUCUAAUCUAAUUUUUCAUGCUGAAAAUCAUAUGAAAUCCUAGGCUCUAGAAGAACCUAAAAGAGAGACCCAAGAGAAGAACCGUUCUUCUCUCUUCUUCUCCCUUUUUCUCCUUGAUCUAAAAUUUUAGGAAGCCCAAAACAUCCAACCAAAUUUUUUUGGUAUUUCUUCUCUAAAUUCUUAUGUUAAAAAUCAGAUCCAAUC
rnacentral:lncRNA from 1 species